AGGUCGAACCUUUGGAGUUCAAUAAAGAACUUUACAGUGCAAAUAUGAACUUCUAACUAUCAAAAAGGUUCAAAGUUGAACUUACAGGUAAACUGGUUAUUUGGAAGUUCAUAUUAGAACCUGUGUGUAGUUAAGGUUCAUUUAUGAACCUUUUCUAAUAUGAUUGGAUUCUAUGGAGUUGAUACAGUGUUUCAUCUGUACCCCCCGACCUCCCCGCACAUUUCUAUAAAUUGCAUCUUAACAUUGAAAGACACCAUGUUUUUUGUCCAUUUUUAAAGCAUAAACUAAGAAGACCAAGAAUAAAAAUUCAGUUUUACAUUCAUAAAUGGACAAGAAGCUGUUCAAUGUCAAAUGGAGAGGUGACGUGAAAUUCUUAGCCCUAAAAAUAGACUGUGUUCAAUAUCUUCCGCUUAGACAACCGUAUAAAUAUUCCCCAAUUGAAAAGGACACUAUGCAGUUUUGGAGCAAAAAUCACGAGUAAGGUGUGAUGCACAGGCACUUUAUUUUACGUGUUUUAUCUCUCCUUCUGUUCCAACUUUAUCUACUUUGUUAUUAGCUCAUGUUUUAGAAAACAUUUCAUAAUUGUAUUGUGUAAGGUUUCAUCAGGAAGAUUAUUUUUUCUUUAUUUAGUUUAUUAUUAUUAUCAUUACUAGCCUACUACUACUACUACAACUAUUGCUUUUACUACAGCUGUUGUUAAUCAUUUAUGUGCUGAGAUUGCUUGUGCCUAAACGUUUUUACAAAAUAAGAAUACUGACAAAUAACUAGCAAUUCAAAAGUACAUUAUUUUCACAAAAGUAAACGAGAUUAUUAAUAUUGUUUCGUUUUUAAGCAUGAAUAAGCAAAUCCUUCAAAAUGCUUUAAAUGUUUUCUAUAUCUGGGCUUUGGUACGCAAAGCAAUACACUGAAGUCUCUCUCGCGCAAUGAUGUCAGUGGUCACGUGGAAAAAACCGUUACAAAUUUUGAAGCGGCAGCAGCGGGACCCAGUGGGACUGAGCGGAACGACACAAAAAUCUGAGGUAAGACAACAUAACGUCUCAAAUAAACUAUUAACUUUUUGAAAAAGCUAUGAAACACCUAUUUAAUGUCAUAAUAACUUUAAGGUGUGUGAUAAUGAAUAAAUGACGACGGGCCUAAGCAGACACGUCGUGUUAAUGCGGCCACAAUAUUGUCAAUUUAACGGCCUGGAGAAAUAAUUCCGGGUGUACCACUUACUACACCUUUUCCACAUGUACUAUUUCAAGAUAUUUUCCCGUUUUUUAUCCUUACUGUGUGUGCGCGUGUGUUUGCUCGCGCGCCCGAGAGAGAGAGAGAGAGAGAGAAUUUAGUAAAAAUGAAAAGUUUGUUUUUAUUCAUAUUUUAUAACGCAUUGUUUUCUAAAUUGCAAUAUUUCUCUGCAUAUAGAGGCACGAAUGAGCUCAGAGCUGAUUCACUGGAAAAUCCAUGUGGCUGACUGGUUGAUGGCAACAGUUUCCAGAUGGACAAUCUGUCUUACCAAGAUGUGUAUCAAAAGAGGUCAAGGGCAGUUGGGGUAAGUGUCCCAGACAGAAUCAACUUAAGUUUUUUAAGAAUAGCAGACAUGUUUUUGUGGGUAGAUUUAUUCAGGAGAAGAUGAUUAACGCAUUGGGAUCCACUUGGAUGAAAUGAAAACCAAAUGCUUGGAGAUCACCAAAUCCUUUUAGAGGACUAAAUGACACAGACAAAGAGUGAGAGGACAGACUAUAUAAAACAUCACUCCACAAAGGAAAUAUUAUCAUGAUAUCCAGCCCUUAAUGUCCCCUCAGUUGAACCACGUACACCCAACCCUGUGCUGCAUAUACUGUAAAUGGAUGUGCCUUGGAUGCAGUCUGUUUUAGAAAUAAUGAUGCAAGGGGAGAAGGUCUGUGAAGUAGACGAUAUGACCAGGUCACCACAAUGUACUUCAUCUUCAACCUUGAAUAUGCUUCAAAGCCGAGAAACACUCUAACAUUCUUUGAAAAAUAAAAAUGUCCUGUUUAAUGUCCUGUUUAAACAUUAUCUUAAAAAUUAUAUAUAAAUUAAAAAUUAAAUGAUUAAAAAUAAUAUAAAAAUGAUAGAUAUUCAGCUACAUUCUGUUAAAGGUUGAUGGAAAUUUAUAGAUUAAUGAAUGAAAUGAUUUAUUUAUUUGAUUGUUUAUUUAUUUAUUUGAAUGAUAAAAAACAAUAUUCCUUUUUUCUCUGUCCAUUGGUGCCUGUGCUCAUUAUAUUUAUGUAUUAAACAUUUUAUAGACAAUCAUUGUGUUCUGUAUUCAAUGUUUUGAAAUGGGAUUAAGAUAUAGUUAUAUAAGUUAUAUAUAAGACAUAUAGUUAAUGUAUAAUUUAUAUUAUAUUUUAAUAAUUAUUAUUAAUAUAUGUUAUUGCUAUCUAAAAGGAAAAGGUUCAAAAUGGAACCUUAAUGAGGCUUUAAUGCACCUUUAAGUGAAGGUUCCAAUUAGAACCUUUUUAAAAAGGUUCAAAAAUGAACCUUUAAGGUUCCCCCACAGUUGCAAUCGCCAGGAACCUUAAAAGGUUCAUUUUUGAACCUUUUCUUCUUAGAG